rnacentral:rRNA from 1 species
AGAAUCAACGCUGGCGGCGUGCCUAACACAUGCAAGUCGAACGAGAAAGUGGAGCAAUCCAUGAGUAAAGUGGCGCACGGGUGAGUAACACGUGACUAACCUACCCUUGAGUGGGGGAUAACCUAGGGAAACCUGGGCUAAUACCGCAUAAUACCUUCGGGUCAAAGGAGCAAUUCGCUUAAGGAGGGGGUCGCGGCCGAUUAGUUAGUUGGCGAGGUAAUGGCCCACCAAGACUGUGAUCGGUA